rnacentral:rRNA from 1 species
CGUCCGUUGUCAAGAGGGAAACAACCCAGACCGCCAGCUAAGGUCCCCAAUGAUAGAUUAAGUGGUAAACGAAGUGGGAAGGCUCAGACAGCCAGGAUGUUGGCUUAGAAGCAGCCAUCAUUUAAAGUCCAAAAUCGACGAGGCCGCUUUCGCCAAAGCACACGCCGGCCCUUCCGCACGCAAACUGGCGCGCGAAUUGGGCGUGGAUUUGGGCCAAGUCAAAGGUACCGGCUUGAAAGGCCGCAUCGUGGGCGACGACAUCAAAGCCUUUGUGAAA